AUGGUGGUAACGCAGUAACACGGUAGUAACGCAGUAACAUGGUGGUAACGCAGUAACAUGGUGGUAACGCCGCAACAUGGUGGUAACGCCGCAACAUGAUGGUAAUGCCACAACAUGGUGGUAACGCAGUAACAUGGUGGUAACGCAGUAACAUGGUGGUAACGCAGUAACACGGUAGUAACGCAGUAACAUGGUGGUAACGCCGCAACAUGGUGGUAACGCAGUAACAUGGUGGUAACGCAGUAAC